rnacentral:rRNA from 1 species
GUAGGGAAUAUUGGGCAAUGGAGGCAACUCUGACCCAGCCAUGCCGCGUGCAGGAUGACGGCCCUCUGGGUUGUAAACUGCUUUUAUACGGGAAGAAAAAAUACUACGUGUAGUAUACUGACGGUACCGUAAGAAUAAGGAUCGGCUAACUCCGUGCCAGCAGCCGCGGUAAUACGGAGGAUCCAAGCGUUGUCCGGUUUUAUUGGGUUUAAAGGGUGCGUAGGCGGAUCUUUAAGUCAGUGGUGAAAGCCUGCAGCUUAACUGUAGAAUUGCCAUUGAAACUGAAGAUCUUGAAUGUGGUUAAAGUAGGCGGAAUGUAUCAUGUAGCGGUGAAAUGCUUAGAUAUGAUACAGAACACCGAUAGCGAAGGCAGCUUGCUGAACCAUUAUUGACGCUGAGGCACGAAAGCGUGGGGAGCGAACAGGAUUAGAUACCCUGGUAGUCC